UACAGAGGGGGCGAGCGUUGUUCGGAAUUACUGGGCGUAAAGGGCGCGUAGGCGGCCUGCUAAGUCGGACGUGAAAUCCCUCGGCUCAACCGGGGAACUGCGUCCGAUACUGGUUGGGCUUGAAUUCGGGAGAGGAUGCGGAAUUCCAGGUGUAGCGGUGAAAUGCGUAGAUAUCUGGAGGAACACCGGUGGCGAAGGCGGCAUCCUGGACCGAGAUUGACGCUGAUGCGCGAAAGCCAGGGGAGCAAACGGG
rnacentral:rRNA from 1 species